CCAGAAAGGCAUUCACAGCAACCCAAACAAUUGGGUAAAAAAAUUUUUUCUUACUUAAAAUCUGAUUUAAAUUCAAUAAUUAAUGAUUUUAAUAAUAUCUUAAUGUUGUUAAAUUAAUGAUUAUUAAUUUAAUUGGCUUAAAAUGUAGCAGGAGCCUUGAGAUCAACUACACCUCUCGAUCUUGAAUGGCUGAGUCUGAGAUUGAUUGCUUUGCCUUGAUGAAUUAUUUCAUAACAGAGGAUGGGGGGUCCUAGAAUCGAAGAAGAAGGAAGAUAAGUUGAAUAGAGAUGCAUGGUAUCGUGUGUGAGAGUAUUUUUCUAUUAGAAAAAUUAAUUAAAACAUGGAAACAAGCGGGAAGGGAACCAUGCGAGUGAGAAGGGUAAAAUUAAACCAAGUUUAGCUGCCGCAGCUCUUCCCUUCACUUUCUUGGCAAGAAACUAGGAUUUUGAGGAAGAAGUCGGCGAUCACUGGCCGCCGAUUGAUAUUUGAUGCAGAAAAUGACAAUGCUGAUAAAGCUCUAGUGGUUCCGAGAAGACUGCAAGGCGAUUUGGUGUUUGCUUCACGAAGAGGAGGACAGCUUAGAAUGCGCCUGCCAAGUGUGGAUUCUGUUCUUCUAAAGAUAGCUAUUUGUUUGGUUGUGGACUUUGGAAUGAGAAUCAUGUGCAUGAUGUCAGCUGGGAAAGCUGAGAACAUUAAACUAAGCACUACCAUGGAUGAGACUUCAAAAAUUGUUCAGGAAUUAAGGACUGAACUAUAUAAAAGAAAAAUCAGCUCACCUUGUUGCAAGCUCAAAAGAUUAAAGCAGUAAGAAUGAUCUAGUGUUUUAUAGAUCAGAUACAGGGGAUAAUGGCCCAAAAGAUAUCAGAGGGCCUGGGAUCCCAAUGAUUGAUGAUGUUGAGUGUCCAAGUAGUGUUCUUUCAGAAGAGCCAGAGCCACAGCUGCUGGAGAUGGAUUAACUGGAAGCAGAGCUGGCAUCUGAACUACGAAACUUCCGUGGUCCAAUGCUGAAGGUUCUGGACACGGAGUUAGGCCAAAUAUGGGCAAGACUCUAAAAAAAGAAAUUUCUGGAUCCGCAACUAAUUAUCAUUCUGUGAUUAAUUGAGCUAUAAGGAGUAUCCCUAAUCCCUAGUUUUGACUAGAAACUUGUUGAGGUUUCAUCUAGUGUGCUUCGUGAACUGGAGGGUCAGAGCACUGUUCUUACCAAUUCCAUGGGAGUCCUGCCAACUGAACUGGAUCAGAAACGGUUAUUUGCUCAUCGAACGAUGGGAAUACCAAAUUUAGGUGCUGGAACGCGAAUUAGAUUCUGCUCAAUCUAAACUCUAUGAGUAGGGUGCUGAGCUUCAAGCACUGAAGGAAAGACUGCAUGAUGAAGCUGUGAUGCAUGCUGAGCAGAAAAGCACCAGCGAAUUCGAUGACGAGAGCCAGAUGGGAUACGAGUCAAGGAAAUCGGUGGGGGAUGAAAAGACCUUUAGACUUCAUAAAGGGUAAUAUUGGAAAGGUGUUGGUGGUGGUUGCUUGCGUAUGGACAUAGUUAUAGAGUGGUGGAGCCAUGGUGGUGUGGCGGGGUGUGGAAUGGAAGGGAGGUGAAGAUGGGGAUAGAGAUGACCUCAUUACAUGUUUCUGGACUGCACAUUUCCUAACUGUGAAUUCCCAUUUUCCUCCUCGAUAGAACCGUCUGGCUUGCACUUUUGU